rnacentral:rRNA from 1 species
UGGCGGGCUUUAAUGCCUGAUAGUCUCUAUGGAGUAAAGGAUGCCUUCGGGUGUCGCUAAAGGAUGGGCUCGCGGCCUAUCAGCUUGUUGGUGAGGUAAAAGCUCACCAAGGCGACGACGGGUAGCUGGUCUGAGAGGACGAUCAGCAACACUGGAACUGAGACACGGUCCAGACACCUACGGGUGGCAGCAGUCGAGAAUCAUUCACAAUGGACGAAAGUCUGAUGGUGCAACGCCGCGUGGAGGAUGACGGUCCUAGGAUUGUAAACUCCUGUCAUUGGGGAGUAAGACUUAUGCGUUAAGAGCGUGUAAGUUUGAUAGUACCCAAAGAGGAAGGGACGGCUAACUUCGUGCCAGCAGCCGCGGUAAUACGAAGGUCCCAAGCGUUGUUCGGAAUCACUGGGCGUAAAGCGUGUGUAGGCUGCGCGGAAAGUCAAAUGUGAAAGCCCGGGGCUCAACCUCGGAACUGCAUUCGAUACUCCCGUGCUAGAGUAAUGGAGAGGUAAGUGGAAUUCUCGGUGUAGCAGUGAAAUGCGUAGAUAUCGAGAGGAACAUCAAUGGCGAAGGCAACUUACUGGACAUUUACUGACGCUCAGACACGAAGGCUAGGGGAGCGAAUGGGAUUAGAUACCCCAGUUAGUCA